rnacentral:lncRNA from 13 species
GGGUGAAGCAGACUUGGUAUAACUGACUUUUGUUGUUCUUGAUGCAUUCUUCUCGUUUUAAAUCGGCCCCUUUUCAGAUUGUGUGUAGCCAUAAACGGCUUUUCUUCUUACAGGGGUAGCUAGCAAAGGACCAGCGUUCAGCGAGGAGCAUGAGCGGCAGUACGCUGAAGUAGGAGCACUGGCUCUUGUAAAAACUCUGCGGACUAGGGGGCUAGUAAAGAGGGAGAGAUGCCCAGAGAGCAUACAGCUGUUUCGGUCGAGCGAGAGAGAGUUCUCCGGCGGCUGAAGAGUGGUUCUUGAAUCGGACAGAUGAUGUUCCAUCCUCUUUUCUGCCAAUCACCCAAAGAUGAGGACAACACCCAAACUGGCACGAUAACAGCACUGUAUAAGAAGAGGACCCAAUGGUUCCAAAAGGCCUGGUUUUGCUCUACGGCCGUCCGCCCAGUCUGCCGCAGCUAUUUGGACAGCAACAGGUGAAAAGGUGAGAG